rnacentral:rRNA from 1 species
CAGUCGCCGCGGUAAUACAGAGGGUGCGAGCGUUAAUCGGAUUUACUGGGCGUAAAGCGUGCGUAGGCGGCUUUUUAAGUCGGAUGUGAAAUCCCUGAGCUUAACUUAGGAAUUGCAUUCGAUACUGGGAAGCUAGAGUAUGGGAGAGGAUGGUAGAAUUCCAGGUGUAGCGGUGAAAUGCGUAGAGAUCUGGAGGAAUACCGAUGGCGAAGGCGGCCCCCUGGACAAAGACUGACGCUCAGGUGCGAAAGCGUGGGGAGCAAACAGGAUUAGAUACCCCCGUAGUCCCUGUCUCUUAUAC